CCCUUAGAUGUUCUGGGCCGCACGCGCGCUACACUGAUGCAUUCAACGAGCCUAUCCUUGACCGACAGGUCCGGGUAAUCUUUGAAUCUGCAUCGUGACGGGGAUAGAUUAUUGCAAUUAUUAAUCUUCAACGAGGAAUGCCUAGUAGGCGCAAGUCAUCAGCUUGCGUCGAUUACGUCCCUGCCCUUUGUACACACCGCCCGUCGCUCCUACCGAUUGGGUGUGCUGGUGAAAUGUUCGGAUCGGCCGUUUGUCGCGGUUUCCGCGGCUCGUGGCUGAGAAGUUCAUUAAACCCUCCCGCCUAGAGGAAGGAGAAGUCGUAACA
rnacentral:rRNA from 1 species